AGUAAAUCAGGAAGCGGUGGCUGGUUCACAAAAUGUCUUGUGUCGUCAAGAGCGAAUUGCUAACUGAAUAAAAUUUGUGAGCAUGGAGAUGGAGAUACAGAGUGCAGAGUUGCGGUACUUAUGCGCGUGAAUUAUUUUUAUUAAAUUGAGGGCGAGGAUUAGUCCUGGGUGUGGGACGAGGACUUGUUGCUGUCCUAGGAGCGUUCGG